rnacentral:rRNA from 1 species
CGCCAGCAGCCGCGGUAAUACGUAGGGGGCGAGCGUUGUCCGGAUUCAUUGGGCGUAAAGAGCUCGUAGGCGGUUCAGUAAGUCGGGUGUGAAAGCUCCGAGCUCAACUCGGAGAGGCCACCCGAUACUGCUGUGACUUGAGUCCAGUAGAGGAGCGUGGAACUCCUGGUGUAGCGGUGAAAUGCGCAGAUAUCAGGAAGAACACCGGUAGCGAAGGCGGCGCUCUGGGCUGGAACUGACGCUGAGGAGCGAAAGCGUGGGUAGCAAACAGGAUUAGAUACCCUGGUAGUCCACGCCGUAAACGUUGGGCACUAGGUGUGGGGAGGAGUCAACCCUUUCCGUGCCGUAGCUAACGCAUUAAGUGCCCCGCCUGGGGAGUACGGCCGCAAGGCUAAAACUCAAAGGAAUUGACGGGGGCCCGCACAAGAC